rnacentral:rRNA from 1 species
UACAGAGGUCUCAAGCGUUGUUCGGAUUCAUUGGGCGUAAAGGGUGCGUAGGCGGCGUCGUAAGUCGGGUGUGAAAUCUCGGGGCUCAACUCCGAAAUUGCAUUCGAUACUGCGGUGCUUGAGGACUGGAGAGGAGACUGGAAUUUACGGUGUAGCGGUGAAAUGCGUAGAUAUCGUAAGGAAGACCAGUGGCGAAGGCGGGUCUCUGGACAGUUCCUGACGCUGAGGCACGAAGGUCAGGGGAGCAAACGGG